UACGUAGGGGGCGAGCGUUGUCCGGAAUUAUUGGGCGUAAAGAGCGUGUAGGCGGUUCGGUAAGUCUGCCGUGAAAACCUGAGGCUCAACCUCGGGCGUGCGGUGGAUACUGCCGGGCUAGAGGACGGUAGAGGCGAGUGGAAUUCCCGGUGUAGCGGUGAAAUGCGCAGAUAUCGAGAGGAACACCAGUAGCGAAGGCGGCUCGCUGGGCCGUGCCUGACGCUGAGACGCGAAAGCUAGGGGAGCGAACAGG
rnacentral:rRNA from 1 species